rfam:Pseudomonas sp. M47T1 contig023, whole genome shotgun sequence.
UUCGGCCUCGCACUAGUAUCUCUAGUGCCCCCUGCAAGCCGUCGCCGACGCACUCCUACUCGAAUUAGUACGCGAUCCUGUCGCCUUCUCUGCGGCGCGGC